rnacentral:rRNA from 1 species
AGAAUCAACGCUGGCGGCGUGCCUAACACAUGCAAGUCGAACGAGAAAGUGGAGCAAUCCAUGAGUAAAGUGGCGACCGGGUGAGUAACACGUGACUAACCUACCUUCGAGUGGGGGAUAACCUCGGGAAACCGGGGCUAAUACCGCAUAACAUCUUUGAAGUGGAAAUUUCGGAGAUCAAAGGGGCAAUUCGCUUGAAGAGGGGGUCGCGACUGAUUAGCUAGUUGGCGGGGUAAUGGCCCACCAAGGCGAAGAUCGGUA